ensembl:lncRNA
GUAACGGAAUGAGGGAUCACGAUUUUGCCCUCCUCGUGACGUUUCUGUCUACUACGUUGGAAAACGUUUUGCAACGGGACGUGUUUCCGUAGCUACCUAGGCUGUCUCCUCUUUUCAUUGGUUGUCGGAACCUGACUGACAGCAUCCAAGGGGGUCAGCGGGGGCGGAGGUUGAGUCCCCAGGUUGCGCUUUGCAAAGCAAGGAAAAAGACACUUGUGUGUGAGAGAGGGAGCGAGAGAGAGAAAAGACUUGGCCGCACCCUUUCUUUCCGGGAGAGUACACCGCUCACAGGUAGGCUAGGCUAAAGGAACAGACGCUCACAACUGAAACUUUGGAUUUUAACUUUUGUCCAGGUUUGUGGAUUAAGAGAAUUCUGCGCGUUACCCCGGAAGGCGAUAUGGAGAGAUAGGCUCUAAGGUAAUCAAGACAAAGACAAAGGCCGCAGCAGAGGGACGACGUUGGUUGGUGGAGAUAAACAUCAAUCAAACUGGACGCCCCCCAGGGCGAUACCACCCCCGACUCAACAAUAGGGUGUCUUCAUGCUCCCCCGACCCACGUAAACCCCCGCUAAGCCAUCCAGCCCCCCCCCCCCCCC